UGACCUCAAAUCAGGUAGGACUACCCGCUGAACUUAAGCAUAUCAAUAAGCGGAGGAAAAGAAACUAACAAGGAUUCCCCUAGUAACUGCGAGUGAAGCGGGAAAAGCUCAAAUUUAAAAUCUGGCAGCCUAGGCUGUCCGAGUG
rnacentral:rRNA from 1 species